UGAUUAAAAUUUAUUUAAUGAUUUUAAAAUUCCCGAAAAUAAGGGAGCUAAAUUUAUUUUAUUUUUUUUGUAGCAAUAAAAUUAUAAAUAUAGAUUUAGAAAUUAAAUGUUAAACGAACUUAUUAAUAUCUAGUCUCUUUAGACAUAAAUCUAAUUUAGAUAUAAUUAUUUUAGUAAAUUAAAUUUUAUUUUAAUUUAUUAAUUCUUAUAUUAAAAAUUUAUGGGAUAAUCUAUAAAUUUAAGAUAAAAAUCUAAUUUUAAUUCUUAAUGUUAUAGAGAUAAUAUUUCUCUUUAAUCUUAAUAAUUUAAUAAUCUAAUAUUUAUAAAUUAAUAAUGAUUUAAAUUUAUAUCUUAUUUUUCUAUAAAAAUUUAUAUCUUAAUUAAUAAAAUAUAGAAAUAAUGAUUAGAUUAGUAAUAAAGUUAUAUUUUAUAAUGAUAUUUUGUAUUAUAUAAUUUAAAGGAAUUCGGCAAAUAUAUUAUUCACCUGUUUAUCAAAAACAUGUCCUGUUGAUUAUAAUUUUAGGUCGAUCUGCUCAAUGAAUUAUUUUAAAUAGCUGCAGUAUGUUGACUGUACAAAGGUAGCAUAAUAAAUUGUCUUUUAAUUGAAGAAUUGUAUGAAAGAAUUAAUGAAAUAAUAACUGUCUCUAAAUUAUUAAAUGAAUUUAAAUUUUUAGUUAAAAUUCUAAAAUUUAAUUAUGGGACGAUAAGACCCUAUAGAAUUUAAUUUAAUUUUUAAAUUUAUUUAUAAUUUUAAUAAAUAUAUUUAAGAUUAAAUUUGAUUGGGAGGAUUGGUAAAUUUAAUAAACUUUAUUUAAGAUUUAAUUUUGAUAUAAAGAUAAUUUUUUGAAUUAUAAAUUGUAAUUAAAAGAAUAAAUUACCUUAGGGAUAACAGCGUA
rnacentral:rRNA from 1 species